GUGCAGCCACCUAACAUUGAAGAUUAUGUUCUGCCAAGGCUAGAGAUGCGCUUUGAAACUUUUGAAGAAGCAAAGAACUUCUACAAUGUCUAUGCGAAGCACACGAGUUUUGCUGUCAGGGAAGGCUCCAAGUUUAAGACCAGAGCCUACCUUUAUUGCAUGUGCUAUGGAGUCUAUCAAUCGAAGGUGUCUGAAGCAAAUAGACAGCGGAACAAAACGAUAGCCAGGACUAACUGCGGGGCUAAAAUGAGGCUGAAGAUUUAAAAGGAUGGAACAGUUGUCGUAAAAGAGAUAGUCUGGGAACACAACCAUAGGCUACAGCUCACUCCGCAAAUGCUUGUCUUCUUGCACUCCCACAAAAACUUUGACAAAACAAUCUUGGAGUAUGUCAAGUACCUGCAGUUCAAAGGCAUCGAACACGCGCAAAUCAUGAGCAUACUGGGCAGUGAUAACCCUGGUAGCUACUUCCUCGAAAUGAAUGCCAAAGACCUGAUUAACCUGAAAGCAAAGAAUUCAGGGAUGGAUGAUGUGGACGAUGUCCUAAAGACUCUCAACUUCUUUAGGGAGAUGAAAGAUAUAAACAUGGAAUUCUUCUGUGACAUGCAACUCGAUGAGUCCGACAGAGUUAAGAACAUAUUCUUGGCGAAUGCAAGCUGCCGAGGGGCCUAUCAGGACUUCGGUGACUGCGUAACAUUUGACACCACAUAUAAGACCAACAAGUACCAUAUGCCACUUGGGGUGUUUGUCGGUGCUAACAACCACUUACAGACGACAUUCUUUGGUUUCGCCCUGAUAAGAGAUGAGGAUGCAGAAUCAUUCAGAUGGUUGUUCAAGGCGUUUUUAAGGUGCAUGAGAGGGAAGGCUCCUACAUGCAUCCUCACAGACCAGUGCCCGACAAUGGCUUUGGCGAUACCAAAAGUUUUCAAGAACACAGUACACAAGCUGUGCCGCUGGCACAUUAUGAAGAAGUACAGGGAACACCUCGCAUACCUGUACUACCUGCACGAAGACUUUAAGGAUGAAUUCACAUCAAUCCUCAACUGGCCCCUCAUGCCAACUGAGUUUGAGGAUGCCUGGAAAGGACUCAUGGAUAGGUACAACCUCCAUGAUGAUGCCACGAUGGUGGCCAUGUGGAACGAGCGUGAGAAAUGGAUAUCAGCCUACUUCAAAGAAAUUUUCUGCGCCAAAAUGACAUCCACACAGCGAAGUGAGAGCAUGAACUAUGUGCUCAAGAAGAACUUUGCAAGUGAGAGACAAAACCUACACCGGUUUGUCAGCCAGGUAAACUCCUGCGUCAAAACUAGGAGGCAGACAGAGAACCAAGAGACAAUGGGUAACAGGGUAUAG
rnacentral:rRNA from 1 species